GAUGAACGCUGGCGGCGUGCCUAAUACAUGCGAGUCGAGCGAACAGACGAGGAGCUUGCUCCUCUGACGUUAGCGGCGGACGGGUGAGUAACACGUGGAUAACCUACCUAUAAGACUGGGAUAACUUCGGGAAACCGGAGCUAAUACCGGAUAAUAUAUUGAACCGCAUGGUUCAAUAGUGAAAGACGGUUUUGCUGUCACUUAUAGAUGGAUCCGCGCCGCAUUAGCUAGUUCGUAAGGUAACGGCUUACCAAGGCAACGAUGCGUAGCCGACCUGAGAGGGUGAUCGGCCACACUGGAACUGAGACACGGUCCAGACUCCUACGGGAGGCAGCAGUAGGGAAUCUUCCGCAAUGGGCGAAAGCCUGACGGAGCAACGCCGCGUGAGUGAUGAAGGUCUUCGGAUCGUAAAACUCUGUUAUUAGGGAAGAACAAAUGUGUAAGUAACUAUGCACGUCUUGACGGUACCUAAUCAGAAAGCCACGGCUAACUACGUG
rnacentral:rRNA from 1 species